rnacentral:rRNA from 1 species
CAGCAGCCACGGGAACACGGAGGGUGCAAGCGUUAUCCGGAUUUAUUGGGUUUAAAGGGUCCGUAGGCGGAUCUGUAAGUCAGUGGUGAAAUCUCACAGCUUAACUGUGAAACUGCCAUUGAUACUGCAGGUCUUGAGUAAAUUUGAAGUGGCUGGAAUAAGUAGUGUAGCGGUGAAAUGCAUAGAUAUUACUUAGAACACCAAUUGCGAAGGCAGGUCACUAAGAUUUAACUGACGCUGAUGGACGAAAGCGUGGGGAGCGAACAGGAUUAGAUACCCCCGUAGUCCCUGUCUCUUAUAA